rnacentral:tRNA from 1 species
UAUAUUAAAGUUUAUUAUGAACGUUUCUUUUACACUGAAAAAGAUCUAUUUUUAGAUAAUAUAA